GACAGAGGUGCCAAGCGUUAGGCGGAAUCACUGGGCUUAAAGCGUGUGUAGGCGGAUCGUUAAGUACCUUGUGAAAUCCCUGGGCUCAACCCAGGAACUGCGUCCGAUACUGGUUGGCUUGAAUCCGGGAGAGGGAUGUGGAAUUCCAGGUGUAGCGGUGAAAUGCGUAGAUAUCUGGAGGAACACCGGUGGCGAAGGCGACAUCCUGGACCGGUAUUGACGCUGAGGCGCGAAAGCCAGGGGAGCAAACGGG
rnacentral:rRNA from 1 species